rnacentral:rRNA from 1 species
UACGUAGGGUCCGAGCGUUGUCCGGAAUUAUUGGGCGUAAAGGGCUCGUAGGCGGUUUGUCGCGUCGGGAGGUGAAACUACAGGGCUCAACCCUGAGCGUGCUUCCGAUGACGGGCCAGGACUAGAGGUGAUGCAGGGGGAGAACGGAAUUCCUGGUGUAGCGGUGGAAUGCGCAGAUAUCGGGAAGAACACCCGUGGCGAAGGCGGCCCUCUGGCUCGACCCUGACGCUGAGGCGCGAAAGCGUGGGGAGCGAACGGG